CCGCGGCGCGGGGCUCCGGGAGGGGGAGCCGGGCGGCGCGGCGCGGCGCGGAGCGGCGAAGUGCCUGGAGUUGGGAGGAUGCGGCAGCGGCGGCUGCAACUUCGCCGAAACCGCGCUCGGGCGCGCACGCCGCCGGCGCGGGCAGGCAGCAGCCCGCGGCAGCAAUAAGCGGCGGCGGCGGGAGACGGAGCGCCGAGCCGCGCAGCAGCUCCGCGGGAGGCGAGAGUGCCGUGCUCCCCCGUCGCCCCCCCAGCACUUCGCAUUGUCAUGUGAUUGGAGGGAGAUAACAAACCUCAAGAAAGAAAAGGCGUCAGAAGACAUUUUUAACAUGCUCUAACCACAGAUUAAUAAUGCAGGUUUCAAGCCAACACACUUUAAAAUAUAUGCAUUUAACACCUCUUGAAACUUGGACCUGUAAUGAAAAUCCAGACAGAUUCUUAAUUAUAACAGCACCAGCAGCCACUGUCAGAGUCAGGCAGUUGAGCCUGUGUUACUGAAGAGGCACAGCAGUUAACGUCUGUCGGUGCUCCUGUUGCAGUCCCCACCCUGAAGAGCUGUAAACCUCUGUUUCUCAGAGACGAGUUUUCUCUUGAUCACUUUGGGUCACACUGAGCUGAAGCAGGCAGGGUUGGUUAAGUUUCACAGAAGAAGAAAUGCAUGUGCUACAUGAAAUGUUUUGCAUGAGGAUCUGGAAAGAAAAGAGAGAAUUCAUUAUGGAGAUGGCUUUAAUUUUCCCUCUUAUGUGAAGUUUCACAGUAUCUGUGUACCUGAAGAGAGAGGGAGAGAGAUGCAAACAUAUAGAGACCCACAGACUAUCUGUGCUGAAAUACACCAGCCCUGGAGUGCUACAGCAGUAAGUGCUACAGAAAAUCCGAGGGGAACGCAAGCCGUAUCAGCCCAUCAGCCUCCUACUCGUUCCUCGCCGCCGGAGCCAGCGGGACGGUUGCUCUCGGUACGGAUGGAGCAGCGCGGUCCAACACACGGGCCGGUGCUCGAACACCCCCCCGCUGCCCCGCUCGGCGCCCCUGCGCAGGGAGGGGAGCUACAGACCUAAGAGCAGCCCAGAAAAGCUGUUACCCAGAGCUGAGGGUGUUUGACCGUACGUAUUCGAAUGGGGCAAUGGCUGCGGCAGCGACAGUUCCUACGAAGAAGGCCAAAAGUGUCUCAGAGCCGAGGUGCAUCUUAGACAGCCGUUGCACUCAGAGCCAAUAAAAAUGAAACUAUUCUCUA